AUACGGAGGGUGCAAGCGUUAUCCGGAAUCAUUGGGUUUAAAGGGUCCGCAGGCGGUCAAUUAAGUCAGAGGUGAAAUCCCAUAGCUUAACUAUGGAACUGCCUUUGAUACUGGUUGACUUGAGUUAUACGGAAGUAGAUAGAAUAAGUAGUGUAGCGGUGAAAUGCAUAGAUAUUACAUAGAACACCAAUUGCGAAGGCAGCUUACUAAGUACUAACUGACGCUGAUGGACGAAAGCGUGGGUAGCGAACAGGAUUAGAUACCCUGGUAGUCCACGCCGUAAACGAUGGAUACUAGCUGUUCGGGGCCUUGAGCUCUGAGCGGCUAAGCGAAAGUGAUAAGUAUCCCACCUGGGGAGUACGUUCGCAAGAAUGAAACUCAAAGGAAUUGACGGGGGCCCGCACAAGCGGUGGAGCAUGUGGUUUAAUUCGAUGAUACGCGAGGAACCUUACCAGGGCUUAAAUGUAGUCUGACAGCUUUAGAGAUAGAGUUUUCUUCGGACAGAUUAC
rnacentral:rRNA from 1 species